ACGAACGCUGGCGGCGUGCUUAACCCAUGCAAGUCGAACGGAAAGGCCCCUUUGGGGGUACUCGAGUGGCGACCGGGUGAGUAACACGUGAGUAACCUGCCCUUGACUUCGGGAUAACUUCAGGAAACUGGGGCUAAUACCGGAUAGGAAUCCUUGCUGCAUGGUGGGGGUUGGAAAGCUUCGGCGGUUUUGGAUGGACUCGCGGCUUAUCAGCUUGUUGGUGGGGUAGUGGCUUACCAAGGCUUUGACGGGUAGCCGGCCUGAGAGGGCGACCGGCCACAUUGGGACUGAGAUACGGCCCAGACUCCUACGGGAGGCAGCAGUGGGGAAUAUUGCACAAUGGGCGGAAGCCUGAUGCAGCAACGCCGCGUGCGGGAGGACGGCCUUCGGGUUGUAAACCGCUUUCAGCAGGGGCGAAGCUUGUGGUGACGGUACCUGCAGAAGAAGCACCGGCUAACUACGUG
rnacentral:rRNA from 1 species